UUUGUUUAUAAUUAGUGAAGAGAUGAAAAUAAUGAAACUGUAUGGUGCAGAAAGUGUCUUUUUCAUUACAGUUUCUGCUGCUGGGCAAGCGGUAGAUCACUAUACGGCUUCUGUACCGUGAAAUGAAGCUUAUGAUAAAUAAAAUACUGCUGCUUGCUGUUCACUGAUUCAAAAUCGUUCAGUGGCUACCAUUGGCCAAUCUUACCAACGGGAUAUAAUAAGAACUGAUGCAGGUUUAUGCACCCAUAGCCAAGUAACUGCAAUGCGAGUUAAAAUGAGUUGAAAUCAAGUUUUAACUGAAUUAAAAUUAAUUUGAAAAUAAAAAAAAU